GAUGAACGCUAGCGGCAGGCUUAAUACAUGCAAGUCGUGGGGCAGCAUGACUGUAGCAAUACAGUUGAUGGCGACCGGCAAACGGGUGCGGAACACGUACACAACCUUCCUUUUAGUGGAGAAUAGCCCAGGGAAACUUGGAUUAAUACUCCGUAACAUAUAGAAGUGGCAUCACUUUUAUAUUAUAGCAGCAAUGCGCUAGAAGAUGGGUGUGCGGCUGAUUAGAUAGUUGGCGGGGUAACGGCCCACCAAGUCGACGAUCAGUAACUGGUGUGAGAGCACGACCAGUCACACGGGCACUGAGACACGGGCCCGACUCCUACGGGAGGCAGCAGUAAGGAAUAUUGGUCAAUGGACGCAAGUCUGAACCAGCCAUGCCGCGUGGAGGAUGAAGGUCCUCUGGAUUGUAAACUUCUUUUAUUUGGGAAGAAACCCAUCUUUUCUAAGAUGGUUGACGGUACCAGAUGAAUAAGCACCGGCUAACUCCGUGCCAGCAGCCGCGGUAAUACGGAGGGUGCAAGCGUUAUCCGGAUUCACUGGGUUUAAAGGGUGCGUAGGUGGGCAAGUAAGUCAGUGGUGAAAUCUCCGGGCUUAACACGGAAACUGCCAUUGAUACUAUUUGUCUUGAAUACUGUGGAGGUCAGCGGAAUAUGUCAUGUAGCGGUGAAAUGCUUAGAUAUGACAUAGAACACCAAUUGCGAAGGCAGCUGGCUACACAAAUAUUGACACUGAGGCACGAAAGCGUGGGGAUCAAACAGGAUUAGAUACCCUGGUAGUCCACGCCCUAAACUAUGGAUACUCGACAUUUGCGAUAAACUGCAAGUGUCUGAGCGAAAGCAUUAAGUAUCCCACCUGGGAAGUACGAUCGCAAGAUUGAAACUCAAAGGAAUUGGCGGGGGUCCGCACAAGCGGUGGAGCAUGUGGUUUAAUUC
rnacentral:rRNA from 1 species